AGGAUGAACGCUGGCGGUGCCUAAUACAUGCAAGUCGAGAACAGAUAAGGAGCUUGCUCCUUUGAAGUUAGCGGGACGGGUGAGUAACACGUGGGUAACCUACCUAUAAGACUGGGAUAACUUCGGGAAACCGGAGCUAAUACCGGAUAACAUUUAGAACCGCAUGGUUCUAAAGUGAAAGAUGGUUUUUAUCACUUAUAGAUGGACCCGCGCCGUAUUAGCUAGUUGGUAAGGUAACGGCUUACCAAGGCGACGAUACGUAGCCGACCUGAGAGGGUGAUCGGCCACACUGGAACUGAGACACGGUCCAGACUCCUACGGGAGGCAGCAGUAGGGAAUCUUCCGCAAUGGGCGAAAGCCUGACGGAGCAACGCCGCGUGAGUGAUGAAGGGUUUCGGCUCGUAAAACUCUGUUAUUAGGGAAGAACAAAUGUGUAAGUAACUGUGCACAUCUUGACGGUACCUAAUCAGAAAGCCACGGCUAACUACGUGCCAGCAGCCGCGGUAAUACGUAGGUGGCAAGCGUUAUCCGGAAUUAUUGGGCGUAAAGCGCGCGUAGGCGGUUUCUUAAGUCUGAUGUGAAAGCCCACGGCUCAACCGUGGAGGGUCAUUGGAAACUGGGAAACUUGAGUGCAGAAGAGGAAAGUGGAAUUCCAUGUGUAGCGGUGAAAUGCGCAGAGAUAUGGAGGAACACCAGUGGCGAAGGCGACUUUCUGGUCUGUAACUGACGCUGAUGUGCGAAAGCGUGGGGAUCAAACAGGAUUAGAUACCCUGGUAGUCCACGCCGUA
rnacentral:rRNA from 1 species